rnacentral:rRNA from 1 species
UACGUAGGGUCCAAGCGUUAUCCGGAAUCACUGGGCGUAAAGCGUGCGUAGGUGGCGCGUUAAGUGUGAUGUUAAAUCGCGGGGCUCAACCCUGUCGAUGCAUCGCAUACUGGCGUGCUAGAGGGAAGCAGAGGCAAGUGGAACUAGUAGUGUAGCAGUGAAAUGCGUAGGUAUUACUAAGAACACCAAUGGCGAAGGCAGCUUGCUGGGCUUCUUCUGACACUGAGGUACGAAAGCGUGGGGAGCGAACAGG